GAUGAACGCUGGCGGCGUGCCUAAUACAUGCAAGUCGAGCGAACAGACGAGGAGCUUGCUCCUCUGACGUUAGCGGCGGACGGGUGAGUAACACGUGGAUAACCUACCUAUAAGACUGCGAUAACUUCGGGAAACCGGAGCUAAUACCGGAUAAUAUAUUGAACCGCAUGGUUCAAUAGUGAAAGACGGUUUUGCUGUCACUUAUAGAUGGAUCCGCGCCGCAUUAGCUAGUUGGUAAGGUAACGGCUUACCAAGGCGACGAUGCGUAGCCGACCUGAGAGGGUGAUCGGCCACACUGGAACUGAGACACGGUCCAGACUCCUACGGGAGGCAGCAGUAGGGAAUCUUCCGCAAUGGGCGAAAGCCUGGCGGAGCAACGCCGCGUGAGUGAUGAAGGUCUUCGGAUCGUAAAACUCUGUUAUUAGGGAAGAACAAAUGUGUAAGUAACUAUGCACGUCUUGACGGUACCUAAUCAGAAAGCCACGGCUAACUACGUG
rnacentral:rRNA from 1 species